rnacentral:rRNA from 1 species
UACGAAGGGGGCUAGCGUUGCUCGGAAUUACUGGGCGUAAAGCGCACGUAGGCGGUCUUUUAAGUCAGGGGUGAAAUCCUGGAGCUCAACUCCAGAACUGCCUUCGAUACUGGAAGACUUGAGUCCGGGAGAGGUGAGUGGAACUGCGAGUGUAGAGGUGAAAUUCGUAGAUAUUCGCAAGAACACCAGUGGCGAAGGCGGCUCACUGGCCCGGUACUGACGCUGAGGCACGAAAGCGUGGGGAGCAAACAGG